GGUUAUCAUACUACCUGAUGUAUGGACUUUUACACCAGGCUUUUACCCUGCACAAGCUGGCCAACUUGAGGGGAACUGAAGUGGGCAAACCUCGCCCUGUCCUUGAACAAGAAAGCUGGAUUUGUUGAGAGAGUAUCAUUUAAGCUGAAAUCCAGCAUUAAACAAGGGAGGUGAUGGCCAUCGCACAGGCCAUGUGCCGACUAUUCACUUUCCACCAGCUUGUAACUUGCUCCAUGAAGGGAGCAACAACUACAACUGGGUCACCAAGACCAAGCCUCCCCGCUGCUGAGAGAAAUGCAAUCAUUGAUGUCAUAGCCAAAACCUUUGACAAGCCCCUGGUUGAUGUUGAAGAAAAGAUGAGAGGUUGUUUAAGGCAUCUGCGGCUGAUGCACAAGUAGACUGAAGUCUUUGUAAAUAAAAUGUGCUGUUAAAAUGAUUAUUUAACCAUUGUUUUUACUUUGUUAUAUUGAUUUGCGCCUGUUUCAACAUUAACUUAUUUUUAUGCUCCCGGUAGGGUCUCAUAUAGCAGUUGAACUGUCCGUCUGUCUGUCUAUCCGUCCGAAAACUUCAGCAUUGGUCAUAACUUUUGCAAUAUUGAAGAAAGCAACUUGAUAUUUAGCAUGCAUGUGUAUCUCAUUGAGCUGCACAUUUUGAGUGGUGCAAGGUCAAGGUCAUCCUUCAAGGUCAGAGGUCAAAAUCCAAUGGAAGACAUAAGCAAAGAGAGAUUAUUUCUAAACCUGCCAAAUGAUAAAUAGAAAUUUUAUUUCAAAGCGGCGCAGUAGGGGGGGCAUUGUGUUUCUGACAAACACAUCUCUUGUUUGUAUUUAUUCCAUACAAUCUUACUUUUUUCAGUUCUUUCUUUGUGUUCAAUGUUAUGUUAUAACACUAUUAUAUUUUAUUAUAACAAUGCCAUGUCUGUCAAAAUAGUUUUAUCAUGCUGUGUAUAUGGAUAUAUAUGUAAAGUUUUAUGUUUUAUCGUUUAAAAAAGUAAUUAGAAUUUAUUCAUGAUAUUUUUGUUCUUAUCAUAAAAAAGUUUUUCAGUUUUCAAGUGGGUGAAAAGUGGGUUUUUACUGAGCAUUUAACAGGUUUUAAAGCUAGUUUUAACUGCGUUUAAUCUGUGAAAAGCAUACAUUUAGCUCACUUAAUGCUCAAAUAAAAACCCACUUUUAACUCGCUUAAGAACAGGAAAAACCGACUUGAUGUGUAGAAGCGGGUGUAAAAGCCAACAUAAAGAAGGAAAACACACUAACUUUUAACCAACUUAAGUUGGUAAAACUCGGUUUUAAAGCGUGUUUUAACUGCGUUAAAUCUGAGUUAAGCACACAUUUAGCUCACUUAACACUCAAACAAAAACCCACUUUUUAACUCGCUUAAGAACAGGAAAAACCGACUUGAUGUGUAGAAGCGGGUUUAAAAGCCAACAUAGAGAAGGAAAACACACUCACUUUUAACCCACUUAAGUUGGUUUAAGUUAGUUUUAGUUGGUUUAAGUUGGUAUAAGAAGGUAUAAGCGUGUUGGUUUAUGUGAGUGAAAUCCAGGUUUUACCUACAAAAAACCAAGUCGGUAAGCAAAAAGUGUGUUUAAAAGACACGCUUUAACCCGGUGCCAAUACCGCAGGGUUUAACACGGUUUUAACACGGAUUAAAACCGGGUUUUGCCCACUUUUUUGACAAGG